AAAAGAGGUGGCAAAUCUUGGCAAACAACUUCAAGAUAAGAAAGAGAGAGAAUCAAUAUUAGUAAAACAGGUUGAGAAAUUGGAGAUUAAGGCCAACAAGGAAGGAUCUGAGAAGGAUGGAUUGGUUCAAGCAAUCCACCAACUUGAAAAGAGACAGAGAGAAUUAGAGAAGAUGAUGGAAGAGAAGAAUGAAGGUAUGCUGGGUCUGAAAGAGGAGAAAAAAGAAGCGAUAAGGCAACUUUGCAUGUUGAUUGAGUAUCACCGUGACCGCUAUGAUUUUCUCAAAGAUGAGGUCUUAAAGCUGAAUGUUAAAGGAGGCCAGAGUGUAAGAUAGUAAAUUAAACAAAAAUAAUGGAGAUCAUUGGAGA
rnacentral:misc_RNA from 1 species